rnacentral:tRNA from 1 species
GCGGGAAUAGCUCAGUUGAUUCAGCCUUCCAAGCUGAGGGUCGCGGGUUUGAGUCCCGUUUCCCGCU